AGGAGAGGCGCAUCAUCGAGUCGGUGAUGAUGAGGCAGAAGCAGGAGGAGGAGAGAGAGAACGAGAUCAUGAGGCGGAAGCAGGACGAGGUGCAGAUCCUGGAGGACACCAUCAGGCAGCGCAGCGAGCAGCAGAAGAAGGCGGGCGUGGAGCUGGACGCCACCUGCCACAUCUGCCUCAAGACCAAGUUCGCCGACGGCGUGGGCCACAUCUGCAACUACUGCCACAUCCGGUGCUGCGCGCGCUGCGGCGGCAAGGUCACGCUGCGCUCCAACAAGGUGAUCUGGGUGUGCAUCCUGUGCCGCAAGAAGCAGGAGCUGCUCAGCAAGACGGGCCAGUGGAUCAACAAGGGCAUGUCCCCGGGCGGAGACGCCAUCAUGCGCCGCAUCCAGGCCGACCUGCACCAGCAGCCCGAGGACCUGGUGGGCGCGGCGCCGUCUCCGCUGCCGCUGCAGCAGCAGGCCUCGUCGGCGGCGCCCUGCGACAAGAGGCCCAAGCUGGAGCGCGCGCACUCUGCCGCCGAGAAGGAGAACCAGCCCUUGCAGCGCUCGGGCAGCGCGCUGCGGCGCCAGUACUCGCAGCAGGAGCCCGGUCCGCCCGACGACCCGCGCUACUACCGCCGCGAGAUCGAGGGCCUCAUGCGCUCGCAGCAGCAGCAGCUGCAGUACCGCGACCUGCCGGCCUCCGAGGCGGGGGCCAGCGGCAAGAAGCACAAGCGGGCGGGCUCGGCCAAGAAGCACGCGCCUCCGCCCGCCCCGCAGCAGCAGCAGCAGCAGCUGGUACCCGCCAGGCACCAGCACCAGCAGCAGUCCUUCUCCAGCUCCGACGACGAGCUGCGGUCCACGCCCGAGUGCACCAGCUGCGAGGAGCCCGACAGCGAGAAGGGAGGAAGGCUGGAGGGCGGCUCGGGGCGCGCGCACCGGCCCUACCACCACAACAGCCACAACCACAGCCACUCUAGACACGACGCGCCGCCGCGCAAGGAGGCGGAGCGCUUCCCGCGCGACCUCGGCGACUACCGGGACCGCUACCUCGCGUUCCGGGACCGCGUGGCGCGGCAGGGCGCGCGGGGCGGGGCGGGCGACGAGGAGGAAGAGGAGGAGGAGGAGGAGGACGGCGACAGCCGGCGGCUGACGGAGCGCAGAAAGAAGACGGUGCGCUUCGACCAGCGCGACUGGGCGCAGCUGGCCGGCGGGGCGCGCCAGGGCUCGCAGGACUCGCAGACCAAGGACUCCGGCAUCGACACCAGCAGCACCUUCACGUCCAGCGAGGACUCGAACCGCGGCGACGGCCCCAAGGAGUUGCAUGACACGGGCCAAACUCCAUGCAAGCACCCGCUGUCGUGGCAACCGAGCGCGGACGGAACGCGCCUCAUCGGCCACAUGAUCCUGAAGAAGACGGCGCGCGAGGGCGCUGGUCCGGCCUCUUCGGCGGCCAUCCUGGGCCUCAAGGUGGUGGGGGGCAAGCUGCUGGAGAGCGGCGGCCGCGGCGCCACCAUCGAGAAGGUCAAGAAGGGCAGCACGGCCGACGUGGAGGGCCAGCUCAAGCCAGGCGACGAGGUGAUCGAGUGGAACGGCCGCUCGCUGCAAGGCAAGAGCUUCCAGGAGGUGUACGACAUCAUCGCCGAGUCCAAGCAGGAGCCGCAGGUGGAGCUGAUCGUGUCGCGGUCCCUGGCCGGCCGCAGACCGGCGCAGACUCCGUGGCGGCACAGCCACACGUCACCCACGCCUGUGCACAAAGACGUAUACGACGGCCGGCGGGACAAGCCCAGCGUGCUGGUGACGUCCCCCGGGUCCCCCGACCUCCGCGUGCCCUCCAGGUCGGGCCGGCCGCCCCGCCUCGGGGUCUCCCCCACCAACAGCAACGUCGGCGGCAGGAUACAGGUGAAGCUGUGGUUCGACUCCGGCGCGCUGCAGCUGGUGGUGACGGUGGUCUGCGCCGCGGGACUGACCCCCCGCGCCAACGGCAGCCCCCGCAACCCGUACGCCAAGCUCUUCCUGCUGCCGGACCGGAGUGAGAAAUCGAAGAGGAGGACGAAGACCCUGGCGAACACCAACGACCCCAAGUGGAACCAGAUGUUCGUGUACUCGUCGGUGCGGCGCGCGGACCUCAAGCUGCGGGUCCUCGAAGUGACUGUCUGGGACUACGUCCGCUACGGGGCCAACGACUUCCUCGGCGAGGUCCUGAUCGAGCUCAGCAUGGCCCCGCUCGACGAGGAGCCGGAGUGGUACUACCUCUCGGCGCACGAGGAGGCCGCGCCCCACCACGCGGGGAGGAGGGACGCGGACCCCGCGGAGAUGGACCUGGCGCUCACGCCCACGGACCACCUGUCGCCGCCCAGCACCACGUCGCGGCUGUCCGACUCGGACACCUCCGAGUGCGACCUGGAGGACGGCCCGGGCGGGGUGGGCGCGCGGGACCGCCGCGUGGCUGACGGCGCGUCCAUCAGCAGCGUCGGCAGCUCCUCCAGCCCACCGCCCGAGGUCGAGGUGCCGGACCACCGGCGGUCGCGGCGGGACAUGUCCCCGCAGGGCCGCAAGCGGGCCGCCGUCCUCAUGGGGCGGGAGAAGGCGGCCAGCUACCAGCCCCAGCGCAAGAACGGCGGGCAGGGGAUGAUGUCGCAGCGGUCCCACUCGGCGGCGCCCACCGACUCUCCCAGCAUGCACUCGCGCAGCCGGUCCAAGAGCCCGCGCCGGAUGAGCGAUCACCGCAGCCUCUCGCCACCGGAGGCCAGGGGCCACCACAUGCCGUCGCACGCGUACGUGCCGAGGUUCUCGUCGCGCUCGGCCGCGGCGACGCCCACCGGCUCGCCGAAGAAGCGCCAGCUGCCGCAGAUCCCCCACACCCUGCAGAAAGCCCUCAAAGAGCGCAUGACGCAGGACAUGGAGGAACGAGCGCGCAUGAUGAAGACCAGGAUGAAGCUGAUGCAGGACUACCGCACGUCGGGAAUGGGCGGCCGCUGGGACCGGCACUACACCGGCCUGAGCGAUGGCGACCUGCCCUCGCGGAGCGCCGCCGCGGGGCCCGGGGAGCGCCGAGCCCGCGCCCGCCGCUCGCUCUCCCCCGACAAGGACGCGACGGGCGACUUCGGCGACAGCGACAUCGAGAGCGUGGUCAGCGUGACGAGCAGUGCCUUCUCCACCCAGUCGGAGCGGCCGCGCGGCUCCCGGGGUCUCAGCAGCGACUACGGGAACGGCGGGGGCGGCCAGCGCAUGGCGGGGCCGCACGGGGGCGGCCACAUGGGCGGCCCGGGCGGCAGCAAGAGAGGGACGUUCACCAGGAGCCUGUCCAACGCAGACGUCCCGCCCGACGAGAAGGCUGCAGACGGCAGCCUGAGCGACACCGCGGUCAGCCACGCCCACGGCAUGGAGGGCCCCCGGCGCAAGAUGGCGGGCGGCGGGGGCGGGGGCUCCAAGUCGGGCCAGUUCGCGGGCCUCGGCAAGAAGAGCAACUCCACGUCGCAGCUGUCCGCCACAGGUCGCAAACGUAGGUUAGGUUUUGGGCGUAAAGGCAAAACUUCGUUUACCGUCCAUAGAAGCGAAGAGGUUUUGCCGGACGACGUGCGGCACCUGGGCAAACAGGGCUCGAGUGUCUCCAGCGACGGGGAGGGCUCGCAAGAUGGAGACAGGUGGUCGCCCUCGCUGCGGCUGGCGCAGGACGGCGGGCAGCUGUCCGAGUUCAUCGACGGCCUGGGGCCCGGGCAGCUGGUGGGACGCCAGGUGCUGGGGGCCCCGUCGCUGGGGGACAUCCAGCUGAGCAUGUGCUACCAGAAGGGGUACCUGGAGGUGGAGGUGAUCCGGGCCCGCGGCCUGCAGUCGCGUCCGGGCUCCAAGACGCUGCCAGCACCGUACGUGAAGGUGUACCUGGUGAGCGGGAAGAAGUGCAUCGCGAAAGCGAAAACAUCGACUGCGAGGAGGACGCUGGACCCGCUGUACCAGCAGCAGCUGGCGUUCCGGGAGCCGUUCCAAGGCUGCAUCCUGCAGGUGACCGUCUGGGGCGACUACGGCCGCAUCGAAGGCAAGAAAGUGUUCAUGGGGGUAGCCCAGAUCAUGCUCGAUGACCUCAACCUGUCCAACAUUGUCAUUGGCUGGUACAAGCUGUUCGGGACGACCUCAUUGGUUAGUGGGCCCUCGUACGGCCUGUCUCGGCGCAGUUCUCUGGCUAGUCUAGACUCCCUCACCAGCCACUAGCCGGUGCCUAGUGCUGACCCGACACCUUAUCUUCUUCUUCUUCCUCUGCAUCUUGACCCUCCACCUUCGCACACGCCUUGGCGCCUCCGCGACGCCGCCCACAGCGUUCCACUGACAGUGCGUCUGGACAUGAGAACGUGAGAGCGAGGAGGGCGGCGGCUCGCUGUCGUGAUGGCGGCGGCUCGCUGUCGUGGUGGCCGCGGCUGGCUGUCGUGAUGGCGACGGACGCAGCGGGGAAGCCCUCCUCCCUCGCCGAGAGCCGUCGGGGCGGCCCUGUCCUUUCGCCGCUGGUCCGCGCGGCACGGACUCCGACCAAUGGCGCAAAGGGAACGAGCGCUCGUGGCUCCAAAUUGUGGGGAAUAACUCGGCAGAGCUGCCCGGUCGAUUGUUCACCGACGGGGAAAAAGUGCUGCAGACAGGUCGUUUGAGUGAUUGAAAAAGCAAAAGACGUUGUACAUAAUAUUUAGAGAGAAUUUUUUUUUUCUUGCAUCAAAAAAAAAAAAAGAAGUUAAAAAAAAAGACAAAUGUAAUUAUUUAUGAAGAUAUAUAAAUAUAUAUACAGUAACGUAAAUGAACAGUAAAUUCACAAGCCUUCCACAAGUUUUGAGUGAAUAUCAUUAUAUAUAGAUAUAUAUGAAUACUUACUCAAUGAAACAAACCUUUACUAUAAAAUACUGACUUAAGUAUCAAUCAACCGCUGUGAACGAGUGCUUGUGGGAGAGAGUGGAAUGUACAUGACCGUGUGAAAGUACUUGCCUUUCUUAAGUUCCAUAAGUUUCUGUCCAGUUUUGUUUCCCGAAGUGAAUGAUAAAAUAUUACUGAACAUCUAAGAGGAUGCCAUAACCAUAAGUGAUGCAGGAUUAAUUCCUUAAAACGAGAACAUUUCUUUUUUGCAUUGGGUGAUUGGUUUCUCACGCCAGUUUUGAGUUCUGCUCACUGUUCAUUUCUCUCCUCUCUCUUAUUCCUCCUGAUCCAGAUGUGUGCGCAAAUAGAGAGAAUGUUUGCUUCGCAUCGAAACUCUUGCAACCUCCUGUAUCCUCUAAAUAUAUUCCGUAGUUGGUAGUACAGACAUAAUACAGACACAAGACAACAAAUACCAUACUAACGUUUUUAUUAUGAAUGUCUAAACGUAUAUAAAAUCCAACUAUCCAAUGUUGUUAGUGUAAACCAUUAAAAAAAAAAAAAACUAAUUUUUUUAAGAAAGGAGGGAAAAAAUAUACGAUUUUGUACUUUAACUUGUUUCCUUGUCUUGUUUUGAAGAAACAGAAAAUAAAAGUAGCAGAGAAUUUCUUUCACGUAUUUUUGAACUUAACUUCGACUAUUUAAGAAGCAUCCUUUCCCUCGUAUGUCUGAGUGUGUGAGGGUGUUCUAGAGUAGCCUGUGGAAUCACCACAGAAACUUAUCUCCUCUACCUUUUCCGAUUCAAGCUGGCAGCAUCUUUUUGAGUCGCGUUGUCGGCCGUGUGGCUCUCAGACUGGUCUGCUGACAAAACCUGGGAGGGGAUUUGGUUAGGAAUAGGUAAGAGCUGGCUAUGCAUGCUCAUCAGUUUGUUAAGGCUUUCUGCACCAUUUAAUAGCUAUUAAAAUUAUGGUAUGUAGUACUUCGUCCCAUUUCAAAAUAUAUUUUUAAAUUACUUACUUCAAGUUUUUAAGCAGGAUUUAUCAUCAUUGAAAAUUAUUGAUUCUAAUUUAAACUACAACUCCCUGAAAGUAAAAUGUUCCAGCUUAAUUCUGUAUGCAACAUACUGUGUGAAGUAGUUUAUUCACAGUUUAAUGACUCCUGCUGCAUAGUGACUGCUGCUCAUUUUUGUAUCUUGAAAUAAUUUGCACUAAUUAACAUACCUACAAACCAUAGAAACAUCAUAACACAUGAUUGAACCAUUUAGACAUACCAAAUUCGAGUGCGGCUCACAAAUAUAAGUUUAGAGGUGUACAAAAUUAACUAUAUUUAUGUGAAUUUUCUUGCUCUGUUUAUCUAUAAAAUCAUUUGAAAAAACUAAAACAUAUUUUAACUAUGUCAGGUGCAAUUAUCCAGUGUUUUUUUCUUCUGGGCUAAUUUGAAAGAGGUGUUUGAAAUAUCUUAAUAACUGUUUCAGUAACUAAUGUGAGGGUCUACACAGAGUUCUUUGUUGUAGAUAAGCAACACAAGCUAAACUCUGAACGUUAGCAGAUGAAUUUUAUAUAGCUCAACUUUCCAAAUUUACAUGCUAACAUGAGUUUUGUCCUCUGAACCAGACAACACUGUUGUCACAUGCUAAGAAGGUAAUUUUUCUAUUUCUUAAAGGAAAAAAAAAUAUUAUUCAUUAAGACAGCUGAGCAUUUUGUAGCCAAAGUGAGAUGGGCCCAGACAAAUUCAGUAUAGCAGCCCUCACUAUGCAGCCGUAGUUUUGAGGAUAUUAUACGUUGCAAAUAUAAUUUUUCUCUUCAAAACCGAUACUUUUUAACGAGUUCUUAGUAAUCCAUAAUAUUACAUGCAUGGUCUAUCAAUUACAAAUAGGUAUUGCAAAUAAACACACAUGAAAAUAAGUGCAUAGUUUUGAAAACUCCUACUGAACGAGUUGGAUGGCAAGGCAGGGUGUUUAAUCGAACCAGCAUUAAGGCCCAUUUAUAAAAGUCCACAAAUGCUGGGCUUUUGGCUCGGACAAUCCCUCAAAACUCUUGUUCGCGUCAUUCGGGUUGGUGUUGAGUUGGAACAUGGUCAAAUUAAAGCUCUGAUUCAUAUUCGUAGGAAUCACUUGCACUUCAUGUACAUAUUUGAGCCUGUGUCUGUUGCAACGUUGCUAAAACUACUCGCAAAGGACUUUGGAAAGCUAAACCACUUAGGGUUUUGAAGUUGCUGAUUUGGCGAGGGCAUAUUUAAACAGUCCCCUUAAUGAAGCUCUGCUGCAUGUUACAGUAUGUUAAUUAUGGCAUAUCUUGCAAAAAUGUUCACCUGCAUGCUUGAUUCCAGCGAAUUCUGGAAAAAACAUUUGAGAGGAAAGCAAAUGUAGCAUUUACUGUGGGCAAUGGCUUAGAAACAUUCGAUGACAAAGUCACAUUCUUUGACAGGUCACACAUGGUUGGGUAACCACUUCAUCUCCUCAUUUAUAAUUGGCUCAGGGUCGUGAAAAGUGUGUCGAGAGCACUGUAGCAUCUACACCGAUGUAUAUGGGCUUCAAGUCUACUUUGCUACCCAAUGAAUCUGCAAAAUAAUUGUGACUUUAGUUCAAAUGCAAGGUCAGCAUUACUCUAAAAUUUCACACGUUAGAGACAGGACUAAAAUUUAACUAUGCACUCAACAGCAUUAGCUUUCGAGGCAUUAAGAUUUCCACAUGCAGCUGCAGGAUAUUAAGUUGCCAUUUGUAAACUUUUUUUUCGACAGCCAUGGUUGUAAUGUUCCUCAGCAUUUGAACUGAACUUGAGAAAUUACUGGGAAAAUAAAUAAAAACAUAUGAUUGAAUAUCCUGAAAGUACAUAUCUAUGUUGAGUGUUUGUCUCUCGUAAUGACAUAUUAUAUUUUAGUAUUUGUUACUUUUCCCCAUGCCUUGUAUAUAUGUGUAUAUUGAGAAGUUUGUACAUAUUUAAUUCCCUGGAGUAUAUAUUUUAAUGAGUCAGUAGUUUAUGUUUGUGUAAUAGCAUCUAAUCAACUCAGCUGUUUUUUACCUUACAGGGAACAACCUUAAUAUUGCUAAAAUUCUGCAAGAUGGUGAAUCUUUUCCAAUAAAAUCACAGUGCAAAAUUUUAAAAAAGAGCUUAUGCUAUAACAAUAUAAAUUUUCUCCACUCUGUUUUCUCAAACCUUUAAUUUUAAGAAACAACUAUCAACAACUUUCCAGAAAGUGCUAAAUUUUGUUGUGAAAGGGAAAAAUUAUAGGUACUUCCAAUAUGUUUUGGCUGUUACUGAAUAUACCAACUUUCAGUUCUAAGGAAGAAAUUUCUCCACUCGUAAUGACUAAACAUUAGGGACACCUGUAUUUCACGAUUUCAUUUCAUGUCAAGGUAUUUCACUAGCUUUUUCUAAGUCAUGGCAAAUUGUGAGGGUGCAGCAGUACGGUGACCACAUUCUCAUUGGCCCCGUCAAGAGCGGGACGACACCUCUCACCGACCUUAGCCAAUAACCACAGAAGAAAAGCUACAGUAUUUUGUGAAAUACCUUGUCAUGAAAUGUAUUCGCGAAAUACAGGUGUCCCUACUAAACAUUGAUAAAAAGAACUUCAGUUGGACGACUUUAUGCAAUUAUGCAUAUAUAGUGAAGUCAGAUCCAGAUCCAUAUCUAACCCUACUCUAUUCGAAAAUCUGUCAAAAUGUUGAAAUAUUUAUAGCUUACUAUAAAACUGUCCACAUUUUCCACAUUAACUAACUUUUUGAAACAGCAUACUGGUCUUUAUUGACUGAGCUUUGUCCACACAUUGUAAAAAUCAAAACAUGUUUUGUGUUCAUGUCAAAACAUUUAUGCUAAUGAAACAAAAAAAAAUAUACGAGCUAGUAUAAGUAUUAACUUAGAUUAUUUUUAAAAUGUCGCUAGUCUGUUUACUUCUCACUAUAAAAACAUUAAAAUACAAGGUUCAUGUGCCUCCUUAAUAGCCUUAAAAAAGUCCUUAAUUUGUCUUUAAUUGAAUAAGGGCUCUUAAAAGUACUUACAUUUCAUGAACAGUCCUUAAAAAAUCCUCAAUAAAGACUGAUAGCAUGCAAGUAAUGGAUGAAUGCCGGAAUUUGAAUGUUUUUUUGUUUCCAACUUGGCAGAAAACAAUGCUUUGCGCAAGUGUAGUACAAUUGAUGAAUUUCAGGCCCUGUGAUGAGGUUUCAUGUAUAAAAACAUUUUCAAUUCAUUUUUUAUAUUUUUGUAUCUCACCUUUGAAUUGAAAAUGUGUGUUUUACUAUCUUACUUUGAACUUAUAAAAAGUAAAUGAGAAUGUAAUAAAAUUGAACGUUUGGCUUCGAAUUUUGGCUUGAUACUAUGCUUGGGUUAAAUAUGUAUUCCAGAGAUACCAUCAGUAAGAACUGAACUAAGGAAAUUAUUUUUUGUGUAUCAAAUAGUUUUCUAUCUCUUGAUAGUGAUUAGGACAACAAAGUAAAGGGGUACUUAAAAAGUCCUUAAUUUUUUAUUGUACGAGAGGGUGUGAACCAUGAAUAGAAUAUUAUAUGCAUGUCAGGCAGGCAAACUAUGUCACAGACAACUGUGUGGGGAUGUAUGUGACUUUCUCAUGCAACUUGUGACUAACACAGAAAGAGUAACCCCAACCUUUAUAGUUUAUGGCUAUUUCUUUACAUCCGCAUCUAAGCAACUAGCACCAGGAAAUGAACUUCUAUGACUUAGUCAGCUACAGUUUAUUUAGAGAUCUUAGAGAGGCUUUUGUACCAUAUAAUUUAUAGUCUUGCAAUACAAGUGAUAACAAGUUAUUAACAUUUCCAAAGUUAAUUUUCAAAACAUUGCAUUAUUUAUUGCUUUGAAACUAAGCUUUUAUAACUAUGCCAUGUGCAAAAAAUUUUUUUUAUUCUGUAUUUACUUUCAUUAAAUUUUUGUGCUGUUCCCUUAUCAUCAUCAUAAAAAUUUUUUAAUGAUGAUGUUGUCGUCCUGCCGAUGUUGAUGCGUGGUUGGGUGGUGUCUGAGGGCGCCAACUAACCUUUAACAGGGGUGGUUGCUGUGGGCUAGUUCACAGCACGAGACUCCGUCUCUCGGUGGUCGUGACGUCGCCACGUGGCAGGCAGGGGUGGUUGGACCACACACACGACUAACUUGUCACGUUCUCGGUACGCACACGAACACCGAUCGCCGAAUUCCGCGAGUCGCACAAGACUGCUCGCUCCGAGGGGUGAAGGCCAACUGGCGCGUACUGGCAGGUCCCGUUAGGGCUCGAGUCGAUCUCGCUCUCCGUGACAAUCGACCUACACCCGUUCGAGACACUACCACCGACCACACACGCCGACCGGUGAGGCACCAAGGUGGCAUAACGACCUGUGCGAGCCACGGGAGCACCUGGGACGACGUCAACGUGAAAGAAAACUGUAACAAUCCUUGAAAGUCUAACCCAUUUGAGUCAUCCAACUUUAUUUCAUGGCCGUCUAUUCCGUUACCAAACGAUAGAGUGUUAACAAAAGAUGAAGUGGGUAAAAAAAAGUAUUAUUCAAUUUUUUGUAGUUUAUUACUGCCUUCACUUGAAUAACCAAAGGCUGCCCCAUGGAAAUGUAACAGUACCGCAAACUGUUCAUACGUAAGUAAAUCAUAUGGGGGGGGGGGGGGGGGGGAGGUGUGACAUGUGUAAUGCGUUCCCCCAAAAUCUUGGAAAAAUCUAUCCUUCCCACCAACAAAAGGAAAUAAUUUAAAACUAAACAGCGGGUAAAGUGGUUCUAUCCCACCCCCACCCUCCAAAAUUAAAUUCUGCUUACGCUCUUCUCUUGUUUAUGUAAAUCUCGCCAAGUUUCUCACACCGGAUGUGUAACGAUGAAUCACAUUGUUUUUUAUUUGCACUAUUGAUUUAAUUGGAAGGUUCACCCGAAUGCUAAUUUGUGUAAGUGAAUUAUUUUGAGGUGAAACUUGCGAUAGCAGAGUCUGGUGGGGCUGUGUUUGUGUGCGUUGUGUAAAAGGUACGCUAGAUCUUCUCACAAAUAUUGCAGGUACUACUCUCGUGAUGUCAAGUCUUGCAGUUUGCAGGAUCACAUAAGUUCCCUCAAAGCCUGCUGGCUUGCUGACGUGAGCUAAACCUUUCACAAUGACUGCAUAUUGUACACACCAUUAUAGGAUCCAAGCAUUUUUUAUAAACUGCUUUUAAUAUUGCUAAAACUACGUAAGCCUUUUCAAAUAUUUUUAAACCAACUCAAAUAAUGCUACUAUAAAAAAAUGUAUUUUCAAUAAUAAGUAAACAAUUCUUACAUUUACUUCUAAACUGAGUUUGUUUCUACUUUAAACUUCUGUUUACUUAUUGCCCCAUAGAACAUUUUUAAUUUAUUGAUGAUUUAACUUUAACAAUAUUCUCUUUUUGUUUAUCAUUAAAAAAUAUAUAUAAAUUCUAGGCAAAAAGAUAUUAUCUCUUGAAAAAUAUAUUUUUUUUCAUGAUGUAUACAUAUUUGAACAUUUUAAGACUAAUAAUACACCAAGCGAAAACAUCUGUUUGGCAAAAUGCUAUGUCAAAUAGAUUUGAAAAGACACUUGCAAACCAGACUUUGUUGCUUGUGUUCUAUGAGUAUGUGAACUGUAUGCAAAAUAUCCACUGCAAACUUUCAUCUACACCUGAAACAGAACAGAAUUGUGCCAAUUACGUUCUUAGGCAGCUUUUAACUUGUGUUGAACGGAUUUACCUUGAGUUGCGUCACAGACAGUGCUGGUUGAUUUUUUUUUAACGAACAAUUGAAUUUACAGAUAUGAUUGUAGAAUCCAUUUUAAGGUGUGUUUUUUGUCCGUUUGUAAUAAAAAAAAGUUAAGUGGUUUAGGCACAGAAUGUGCGAGACUUGUACAGACUGUUACUUUUGAAUCUUUUUAUUGUAUAUGUAUAUAUAAAAAAACUGAUUGGAAUUAACUAUUUAACAACUGAAUGGACAUGAUGAAAUUUGUAUCUGAUUGAAGAGUUACAAGCACAAUGUUGAGAAGACUUUAAGUGCAGAAAAUGUCUUACUCUAUGCCCUGUCACAUAAACCAACCAGCUUCACCCAACGUUCUGUUCUCCUGGCAUGUUUACGUGUAAACUUUUGAUACAAGUUAUGUAAAUUAGCAUUGUGUACAUUCUGUGUUGUUUCUGUGUACAGAUUUCAAAGAACUAUAUUUUCUGUUGCUAUGAUGUAUGUUUGUUACUGUUGUGUAUUAUACUGUAACAUGUAUAAAAAAAAUUUUAAAAAUGGUUGCAAUGUUAAAUUUGAAAGGCUGGAUCUGUAGUUUUUGUAAAUUAUUAUUUAUUUAAGUUACCGAAUUGCUAAGUACAAUACAUCUGUUAUGUAUUUCAUUAAAGUUGUUUGUGACGUUAGGCAAAAGGAAAGUUUGUUUAGCUAUUAGAAUUUUGUAUAGAGUUUGGUCUCAUUAUCAUUGCUAUUGUUAACAAAAUGCUACCCAAGAUUGUUACCUAACCAUUAUUAGCUGAUUAAGUUGAAAAUCAAAUUGAAUUGUUGGUGGCAUGUUUGACAUAUGUAUAUAAAUGUUGAACUUCGUAAAUUUGUAGCUUUUGAAAAGAAAAAAAAAACUUUAUGCUAAAAAGAAAGUUCUUUUUGUAGAGAAAAAAUUCCCAUUUCAAUUUUCUCAGGUCUGUUUUGCAAGGAAGAAAUUAAUUUUUUAAUGUUCACCUGACCUUUUUACCAGUAUUCACUUGCUGAUGACUCCAACAUGAUAUUGUUUAUUUUUAAUUUUUUUAUGACAGUUAACAAUGAACAAAAUGUGAUUGCUGUUUGAUUUUGCUAUGUAACUGUAGCUGUGAUCCUGCGAUGUCAGUCGGGAACUUUUCUGAAGUUUGUGCGUCUGUGUCGGUGAGACGGCUGUGUAAUGUGUACGCGACCUUGACCACACAUUGCCCACUGCUGGAGUGCUCAAACCAUCCGAUUGCUGGAAAUGCUCGCAUCGAGCUAAUGAGUUUCUUUCACUGAUUCACAUAUCUGACAACAACAAAAAAAAUACAACGAAAAACUAUACACAAAUAAAAUAACUAAAAAAAAUGUUUACUUUUACUUAUGUUUAAACCCUGAUUUAUCAGGUACAAAAAAAAUUUGGAAAAUUUUGAUAAGCUUUUGUAAAUAUAAUUGCAGACAAAAAGUUAAGUGAACAUGUAAAUACUAGCCAACGUAACGUUGAUUCAAGCAGCCCUCCGGCAGAGCCUUUGUGAGCUUAAGGUGGCCAAUCGUGAAAAUCAGUAUUUGCAUGGGACGCGAGGUAAAUUUCAAUGGUGUACUUGUGCCCUAAGUUAAUGUUUUUUGCUUGACACUUGAUGUUGUCGUCGCUAUCUCGACCAUUUGGCAUGCAUUGUUGGUUUAUGAAACAAGGGCAGCACCCCAGACAAAAGACUGCUUCCCAUAUCUCUUGCCUUUCUUUGGUAUUGCUGGCUUUAAAAUAUUUGUAGUUUUAAAAAAAAGAGAAAGAAAAAAAAUAACACUAUUAGGUAAAAAGACAAAGAAAAAAAAUUUUUGGAGAUAAAAAAAACUAAAGACAAGUUGAUUAAACGUGGUGCUUGGGUAUGUCUGUAGUGUUUACAAAACUUUAGGUGCGUAUUAAAGUGUAACACCUGCUAAAUUCACCCUUUACAAACUCAUUAUGACUUUUGUCACUGUGUUUGAUGUUUCCAGGGAAAUUUAUCCUCCUUCAUUUGGCAUCACUUGGAUAGCUGACAUUUGAGAGCAAUGGUACAAGUAGUUGCUUAAAAAAAUAUAUAUAUAUUUGCGAGAUCAAAAUGUAAAAACCGAGUAUUGUAAUUUUUUUUUUUAAUGCAAGGAUAAAAAUCUUUUCUGUUACCAGUGAUGCCAACAUGAAAAGGAGAAUGGCAACCCUGUUUUUUCCCCUUUUCCCUUUCGCUUUGCUCUCUUGUAAGAGACACUCGUCUGCCUCUGGUAACUCUGACAAUAAAAAAUGAAUGAAUGAUUCAAAAUGAGAAUAUGAAUAAGAAAAAUAAAACAUGACAAAAACUAAA